rnacentral:rRNA from 1 species
CCUACGGGUGGCAGCAGUGGGGAAUAUUGGACAAUGGGGGCAACCCUGAUCCAGCCAUGCCGCGUGUGUGAAGAAGGCCCUCGGGUUGUAAAGCACUUUCAGUGAGGAAGAACGCCUGGUGGUUAAUACCCAUCAGGAAAGACAUCACUCACAGAAGAAGCACCGGCUAACUCCGUGCCAGCAGCCGCGGUAAUACGGAGGGUGCGAGCGUUAAUCGGAAUUACUGGGCGUAAAGCGCGCGUAGGUGGCUUGAUAAGCCGGUUGUGAAAGCCCCGGGCUCAACCUGGGAACGGCAUCCGGAACUGUCAAGCUAGAGUGCAGGAGAGGAAGGUAGAAUUCCCGGUGUAGCGGUGAAAUGCGUAGAGAUCGGGAGGAAUACUAGUGGCGAAGGCGGCCUUCUGGACUGACACUGACACUGAGGUGCGAAAGCGUGGGUAGCAAACAGGAUUAGAUACCCCGGUAGUC